ensembl:lncRNA
CUGCAGAACUGCUCAGCAGCGGCCCAGACAGGAACCACUAACCUGAAUGCAAAUGGGAGAGAUGCAGUCUGAGCCUCAGCCUGGGUCUAUCCACCCACACCAUGCCUGCCCCCAGCCAGAAGCAGUGCCUGUGACCCCAUGGAGAAGAGACUGUCUGUUGCCUGCUGUGAGUGAGAGGCUGCCCUCUGCCUGCUUUCAGAUGGGCACCUGUGGCUGGGAUCGAACUUGGGACCUUGUGCUUGCGAGGCAGCCAGUGUCACCACUAAGCCAAAUCCUUGGCCCCUCAUACUGCACUGUAAAAGCAGCUUUACACAGUUCUUUAAGGAUAAAAAGAUGUUCAGUGGGACUUUUCCCCGGUGUCCUGGGAUGCUGGCCAAAGCUGAGAACAAUGGGUGAGAAGUAUCUCCUCACUGUAAAGAAAGGACUGAAAAUAUCCUGCUGAACACACUCGGAGUAAGAAGCACCUUCCCAGCAACCAUUCACCCCAGCAAGGUCGAGCAGCCCAGACAGCCAGGCUUAGCCCAGAGAGGACCGUGAUGGCACCAGUGACUCCAGAGUCUUCUCUCCUGCAUUUAUCCCACUCACCCUAGUUGAAUCCAAGAUAUCCAGAAGAAAAAAUGGAGGGGUGGCCAAGAGUGAAAGACUAUUUGAGCCCCUUCCUCAUUGGAGUUGUUUGAUUCCUGGGUAAGGCAUGAGUCAAAGAGGGAAAAGAAGUAAGAGAUCAUGUUUGAAAUGGAAGUUUCACUGUUAGACUGGAUUGGACCCUGGACCACCAAAAAAGAAAUAAUAAUUAACUAAAUGAUCCUGUUUAUAGUGGAAAGUGAAGAAACACUUCAGAAUCUGCCUGAGAUUCCAUAACCAUGUGGGAAAGUGGGGUAUAAUAGUGUGUUUCCUGAGUGGUGGACUCCACCGAAGUCAAAGUGAAAAUAACUUCAGUCUACAGCUAAGUAGCUCACUAGUGAUGGGAAUCUCAAUGGAACAUGACAGAAACAAGGAACCAGACAUGUAAGUAGACAAUUACGUUAAAAUUUGCAUAAUACUAUAAAAGUGCUACAUAUAAGUUACUACGGAAAUGGGGCCUGACUUGGAGGGAAAUGGCAUCAAAAAGGGCUUCCAAGGGAAAAUGACAUUACAUUGGCUCUUGAAGUGAAAGAAGCAAGCCUGACAGAUAAGAAGAGCAGAGGAGUGGAUGGAGAUCGUUCAGAAGCCAGAAAGCACCAAAUCUUUGGCAAGCACACGGAUCCUCUGACAGGUGUCUGCAUGUGGCUGAGGGACACAGAAAGCAAGGCCAGGCUGAAGGCGUCUGUCCCAUGCUGAAGAGUUGGAAUUUUGUCCUGAAGAUGAAAGGGUAUCUUUGAGGAGUGCUAUGGGAUUGACAGGAUCCAAUCUGGACGUGGAAAGAGCUGGCAUCUUCCAGGAAAUCACAGGAGGUUGGUUCAUGGCUUCACAGAGGGGAGCAGAGAGGGGGGAUGCACAGGAGCAGCGUCUACUGGUGCUUCUUAUGGUAAUGUAGGUGUGGUUAAGAAAGAGACCCAAGAUGGGGAAAAAGCCAAUUGGAAACCUCAACUGUAAAGUGAUUCUUCUUGAAUUGACCUUAAACAGUACAUUCUUUUUUUAUAUUGGGGAUUGAACCCAGGGCCUUUUCACUAAGCUACAUUGCCAGACCUUUUAAUUUUUUACUUUACUUUGAAACAGAGGAAGCUUAAUAAGUCAAUAAGAUGUUGAGCCGGGGUUGAAACUGCUCCUGCCUCUUAGAAUGCUGGGAUUACAGGCCUAUGCCACCAGGUUCAGUUUGUACUGCUACCCUUUAACUUCCUCAAGUUUGCUCCUAGUCUGUCUUUCAACACAAACAGAGCAAUUAAGAUUAUUUUGUAGAUUACUAAAUUGCAAAUUAAUACAGACUCAUAUUGAUAAACUGCUUCAUAAACCAGAUAUUCUAUCUAUCUAUCUAUCUAUCUAUCUAUCUAUCUAUCUAUCUAUAUCUAUCUAUCUUCAUGACUGUGCUUGCCUUUGAACUUCUAGAAAAACCCAGAGUUACAAAACUCCAAGUAUUCUUUCCCAUGACAUAGUUAAUAACUGAAGAAUAGGGUGAACUUGUGGGAUUUUCUAAGGGAUAAGUAAAUAAAAGUUCAGCAGGAACACAUGCUGAGCAGAAGCAGACUUAUUGUGAGAAAAGUAAUCAUGCCUUAACUUUCCCCUCCACCCACUGGCCUUUUCAUUGCCAUGUGAUACAUGUAUUGCCAUUUAUUCCACCAUAAUGAUGAGGAGGCUGACUGCAGCUCUCUUUUGGAUACAAUACUCCCUGCUUCACAAAAGCCCCUGGGAUGAGAGAAUCAAAUAUAGAAUUUGCUGAAGGGCACAAAUAUCAGCAGUAUUCGGCUAUCCAAAUCCAACCUAAUGACAUUCUGGGGAAUCUGGGAUGUCAAAGAUGCUAUUCACCCUCAGUGACAAUUGUUCUUGCUUUCUUUUCCUACCUAGACUCUUUUUUUCCCAAAGGGAGGCUAUCUUUUGACAUAGUCAGUUACAAACCUUCACUGAAGGAAGAGGCAUGAAAAAUGAAGCAGUUUUGUGUUAAUGUACAGCUUGAGGACGUGAGGCCAAUUCCUGUCUCCACCAGCGAAGCAAGGAAUCUGUGCAGAUUUAACAGGCAGGCUUUCCUUCCUUCCUGGCAGGGCCUUACUCCUAUGGCAAAGUUGCAAUUAUGUCUUAUUUUAUAGGGAGUUUCUGUAGGUAUUUUUCAUUCUUACUUUGGUUUUUAAAUAUAUGAAGAAACAUUGCAAUUAAACACAAUCCCAUAAAGUUAAAAAAAUUCUGUAAAACACCAUCUGAAGAUAAAGAUUUAAUGAUAGAGUGAUGACAUUUACAUUGUGUUCUCCUUCCUCUUGAACUUCACUGAG